GCUGGAUGCUUAAGGGGAGUUGAGUAGAAACAAUCCCAAUACAAGUCUACUCAUUCACACCCACACACACCCACACACACCCAUACACACUCACACACACCCAUACACACACACACUCACACACACCCAUACACACACACACACCCAUACACACCCACACACACCCAUACACACUCACACACACCCAUACACACUCACACACACCCAUACACACACACCCAUACACACACACACACACCCAUACACACACACACACACCCAUACACACUCACACACACCCAUAUACACACACACUACACACACACACCCAUACACACUCACACACACCCAUACACACACACACACACACUCACACACACCCAUACACACACACACACCCAUACACACCCACACACACCCAUACACACUCACACACACCCAUACACACACACACCCAUACACACACACACUCACACACACCCAUACACACACACACACACCCAUACACACACACACACACACCCAUACACACCCACACACACCCAUACAUACUCACACACACCCAUACACACACACACACACCCAUACACACACACUACACACACUCACAUCUCCACACACUACACAUACACUCACAGCUUCACACACUACACACACCCACACACUCACACCCACAAACUCAGACUCCACAAACCCACAUGCACUCACACCUCCACACACUACACACACAUACUCACACCUCCACACACUACACACACACACUCACACCUCCACACACUACACAUACACUCACAGCUUCACACACUACACAUCUACCCACUCACACACACACACACACAUUCAGACCCCACACACCCACACACACUCAUAUACUCACAUCUCCACACACUACACACACCCACACACUCACAUACACACUACACACACACUCAUACCUUCAUACACUAUACACACCCACACACCCACACACACCACACACACACCCCUCACAAACACCACACACAGUCAUACACCACACACUCACACAUACCACAUCCCUACACUUCCAUACCCACACACCCCACACACACACCCCACAACACACCACACACACACCACAUCCCAUACAUACCCUACACACUCACACACAUACCA
rnacentral:lncRNA from 1 species